AGUCAUAAAUAGUAAAUGUAAGUUUUCCCCCAAUUUUUUUUCCACCAGUUUGGGUAGAACAGUUUGACAAAAAGAUGACUGAAUUUGUGAAAGGCGUGAAAGAUCGUGUCGCAAGUCAUCCACCGGUGGAAUGCAGAUCUCCAUGUGGGCUUCAAAAAGCUGCCCGUACCUUUUCAUGCAGCCGAUGUGCUGAGGAG